rnacentral:rRNA from 1 species
CCUACGGGGCGCAGCAGUGAGGAAUAUUGGUCAAUGGACGGAAGUCUGAACCAGCCAUGCCGCGUGCAGGAAGACGGCUCUAUGAGUUGUAAACUGCUUUUGUACAAGGGUAAACCUGAAUACGUGUAUUCAGCUGAAAGUACUGUACGAAUAAGGAUCGGCUAACUCCGUGCCAGCAGCCGCGGUAAUACGGAGGAUCCAAGCGUUAUCCGGAUUUAUUGGGUUUAAAGGGUGCGUAGGCGGAUGGAUAAGUUAGAGGGGAAAUGUCCGAGCUUAACUCGGGAACUGCCUCUAAUACUGUUGUUCUAGAGAGUAGAUGAGGUAGGCGGAAUGUAUGGUGUAGCGGUGAAAUGCUUAGAGAUCAUACAGAACACCGAUUGCGAAGGCAGCUUACCAAGCUACUUCUGACGUUGAGGCACGAAAGCGUGGGGAGCAAACAGGAUUAGAUACCCUGGUAGUC